GCUCAGUGUCAUUGGAUCGCAGGACUCCGUGCCGCUCAAAAGUUCUGCAAUGGUUUUCAAUGAUAUCAUUAUUACUUGGAAAAACGCAAAAGAAAUAUAACAAAAUAGGCAUCGAUAUCGCGUUCAAGAUGAUUGAUUAAAGCAUAAACGACUAAUAAUGUUACCGGAAGAGAACAAGGCUGGCCUUUUCUUGGGAAGACUGCCGAAACCGCUACUCGCGCUAGCUAUACUUCCGGCGAGAGAACCGCUAGAUACGUAAUCGUCACGAUUGACUCCUCUCUCGGGGCCUAUUACUUCAUCCGUCGUAACACCAGAUUUUUUCACACUUUGGACACGCAACAAAUGCGAAUCUCCAACGAUUGUUGGCAACUUACACUUUAAACAGAAUGUCACCCGAGAGCAUGUUCAUCUUAAUGGCAACCCCGAGCAUCGAAUUAUCUUGGCGAUGUCGCGCGU